rfam:Operophtera brumata OBRT01_Sc01450, whole genome shotgun sequence.
CCAGGUAUGGAGACAUGGUGCCAGGCACCAUAGCUGGCAAGAUAGUCGGCGGCGUCUGCUCACUGUCCGGAGUACUGGUCAUCGCCCUGCCUGUGCCCGUUAUUGUCUCCAAC